rnacentral:rRNA from 1 species
UACGGUAGGCAGCAAGCGUUGUUCGGAAUUACUGGGCGUAAAGAGUGUGUAGGCGGUGCUCUAAGUCUGUUGUGAAAUCUCCCGGCUUAACCGGGAGGGUGCGGCGGAAAACUGGAGUGCUUGAGGGUGGGAGAGGUAAGCGGAAUUCCUGGUGUAGCGGUGAAAUGCGCAGAUAUCAGGAGGAACACCGAUGGCGAAGGCAGGUCUCUGGGCCACUACUGACGCUGAGAAGCGAAAGCAUGGGGAGCGAACAGG